UAACUUCGCCGGAAUGGACUCUCCAAAUUCAGAGCAGCAAUCAAGGUUGCAAGAUUUGAAUGAUAAACUUGAGAAGGAUUCAAACGAUCGGGAUUCAUAUGUAUCACGAAGUUUUUUGUAUGCAGAAUUGAAAAACUUUACAAAGGCUUAUGAGGAUAUUAACACAGCGUUAAAUCUAACCCAAAAGAAAGAUAAUCUUAAAGACAAAGAAUCUGUUGCAAGAUUUUAUGUUCACCGAGCACAAAUUUACUAUUCUGGGAAACAAUAUAAGCGUACGUAUAAAAGUAUGUAAAUUUAGAGUAGGCAGAGACACAAUUUUGAAGGAACAAUAUGAAAAUUAUGAUGAUGAUCUAUCACAACUUAACAAAACCUAUGACAAAUGUUGGAACAAAGCUCGAGAUGCUGAGAACAAAGGCAAAAGUCCCGUUGAGAUAAAAGAUCGUAAGAAAAAGAACUUUGAUAGGAGAAG